UGUUUUAUUGGGUGAGGGGGGAAGAAGUGAGGAGAAGCUGAUUGGAGCGUUACUAGGGAUACUGGCGAGCUCAGAUUGUAGGGAACUUAGCUUUGUGGAAACCGAGUUCUAACGUUUCUGUUGCCAGCUGCCUUAAAGUAGUCUCACAAGUCAGGCUAAAGUAAACACAGAGCUUGGACUUAGCUGAAGGAGUCUGAACUUCAUGCUGUAGGCAAUGAAAGGUCAUGUAGGGUCCUUGAAGAUUUCUGAGCAGAGUAAUGAUGUAAAUAAAACAGCAUUUUAAAGUUUAAACAGGAUGUAGGUUGCAGAGCCAGGAGGACAAUAUCUGAUGGAAAUUGACCUUGGCUGGUGGGGGGAAGGGCUACUAAGGGAGAAAAAAGUUCCAAGGUUGUGGGCAUGGAGUUGCAUGGAAACGAAUAGCCUCAGGUAUCAAGUGUCAGGUGGUUGCAGAGGUGACCUGACCGUGUUUAUGUUCCAUGGAAAGAGAGCUCUGUGGCUCACAGGCAAUCCAUGGUAGUACAGGAACCAGCCAGAAAAGACUUGGCUUUUCUGGUGACUCGGUCUUAAUCACAAGGCCCAGCUUGCGGGAAGGUGAAACCUACUGGAAUGAGAAGGCAGAGUUCAAAAUUAAACCUUGGAAAACUGAUCACGAAACCAAACUGGGCUCCUGUAGGUGACUUGCUUGCUGUACUGCUGCUGUGUGGUCAAGUAUAUUUUGAACAGAAAAUUAAAGUAAUAUGCUUCUUCAAGCAAAAAGCAGGUGAGCUUUUCGAGAGAAAACCAAAGCCAUCUGAAAAGGAGCUGCUGCGACUUUGACCCAGUCUGCGGAUUCACAGACAUCCAGACCUGGAUAGACCCCAGAGCAUGGCCGUGAUAUUUUGCAUUUCCCACCAUUGAGAGGCAGCGUUGACUUGCCGAGACUUCAAAGUUGGGCUCAUCCUGAGUCUUGAUUUCGCCAACAGAAGGUGCUGGGAGUGAGGCUGAGUCAGUUCCAGAGCCCGGGCCUCCAGAGAGCUCACAUUUUUACCUUGGCCCUUUGAGAGCUCCCCCAUGCGAUGGAAGGAAGCGUAGGGUUGACUGCUGAGUGGGGGAGCCCAUAUGGAGAGGACUGUGAAGGGCCAGCACCAGGGCCCCAGACAUGUAAAUGAGGUCAUUUUAAACUAUCUGAUACCUUCCAGCCCCAGUCUAGCCUCUGCCUGCAGCCCAGAUGAGACCAGCAGAAAGAACCAGCCACCUGAGCCCACCCGGCGUAAAGAAAGGGUGAGAAAUAAUAAAUCGUUGUUUCACACCA